CGCAGGAUGGAGCAGUAGGUAGCUCGUUGGGCUCAAGUUAUUGUUAAUUGAGAAUUUUGAAAAUUACUUUAUCAAAGUUUGUACAAUCAAUUUGCAUGAGGGCUGCGUAGAAAGAAAUUUUUACGUGAAAGUUUGUCAAAUUCGGGGAACCCUUUAAGUAUGGCAAUCCCGAGCCAAGCCUUAGAAAUAAGGAAGGUGUAGAGACUGAAUGGCAGAUACCUUAACGACUUAGGUCGAAGGUAAAGAGACAGUCCAGACCACAAACCAGUAGGGUAGCGAAAGCUAUAGUGGUAAGCAUAACCCAAAGGUCACAGGUUCGAGUCCUGUUCCUGCUA
rnacentral:tRNA from 1 species